UACGUAGGGGGCGAGCGUUGUCCGGAUUUAUUGGGCGUAAAGAGCUCGUAGGCGGCUUGGCAAGUCGGGUGUGAAACCUCCAGGCUCAACCUGGAGACGCCACUCGAUACUGCUAUGGCUAGAGUCCGGUAGGGGACCACGGAAUUCCUGGUGUAGCGGUGAAAUGCGUAGAUAUCAGGAGGAACACCGGUGGCGAAGGCGGCUAUCUGGACAGAGUCUGACGCUGAGGCGCGAAAGCUAGGGGAGCAAACAGG
rnacentral:rRNA from 1 species